CCUACGGGAGGCAGCAGUAAGGAAUAUUGGUCAAUGGUGGCAACACUGAACCAGCCAUGCCGCGUGCAGGAUGAAGGUUCUAUGAAUUGUAAACUGCUUUUAUACGGGAAAAAACUUUCGAACGUGUUCGGAACUGAUGGUACCGUAAGAAUAAGGAUCGGCUAACUUCGUGCCAGCAGCCGCGGUAAGACGAAGGAUCCAAGCGUUAUCCGGAUUUAUUGGGUUUAAAGGGUGCGUAGGUGGACUUGUAAGUCAGUGGUGAAAGCCCGAUGCUUAACAUCGGAACUGCCAUUGAUACUGCAAGUCUUGAAUAUGUUUGAAGUGGGCGGAAUGUGUCGUGUAGCGGUGAAAUGCUUAGAUAUGACACAGAACACCGAUUGCGAAGGCAGCUCACUAAACCAUUAUUGACACUGAGGCACGAAAGCGUGGGGAGCAAACAGGAUUAGAUACCCUGGUAGUCCACGCCCUAAACGUUGAAUACUCGAUAUGUGCGAUACACUGUACGUGUCCAAGNGAAAUCGUUAAGUAUUCCACCUGGGGAGUACGCUCGCAAGAGUGAAAACCUCAAAAGAUAGUACGACGNGAGAGAGCGACGACGACGACGAGGAGGGAGGAG
rnacentral:rRNA from 1 species